UAGUUAGAAGCUCGCGGGUUGGAGCGCUUAGCUGUUAACUAAGAGGUUACAGGAUCAAGGCCUGUCUAACUAG
rnacentral:tRNA from 1 species